UGGAAAAUGUUCACCCACCCAACUUCAUUCUUUGAUGGUAUUGAAGAAGGUUGAUUUUUGUUUGUUUUUAUCACUUCUCUUUAUUGUCUCUCAUCCAAGCAGUCAAUGAACGGCUGCAACAGUUCUCCUCCAGUCCUGGAAAGAUGGACAGUUUGUUGACAUGCCAAGUGUUCAUCUUUGACCCUUAUACACAAACUCAAUCACCCACUUAUAAUCUGUCAAUUAGUACUUGGCACAUGGAAUGCUAAUUCUUAUGCUCAUUUAAAUAAUUAAGACUUAAACCAUUGUACAACGGUAAGGAGGGGGCAAUAUGAGUAGAAUGGCUACAUCCAAAAUCAGAGUUCAAAUCUUAAAUAGUGCACUGCAGUUCACCAGGGCCAUAGACAAUAGUGCACACUAUAUAGGGAACAGUGUGCACAUUUGAGAACUGGUGAAUGAGAUCACUCUGUAAGCUCAUUAGAAUAAUUACCCCACAUUUGAGACCCCUCAUUUAGCGUCUAAAUUGACCCAGAUUUUUUGCCCUGUUCCUAGAACUUCCUGGAUCCAAGCUAGGUUCAGGCUCAUUGGUGGCCACGUUCUGAGUGUUAACCCUAAAGAAUCCAACAACACACCGGGCACAUUCGUUACAUUGUUUUGUAACGCUGCCCCAUGAAAUCCUGUGUUUUUCUUACUUUGUGUUGUUGGACCUGGGAUGCCAGGCUUCCUUGAACUUUCUGAUUGUCAGGAUUUCUAGAACUUUUUGAAUGUCAGGUUUCAAUUUUCUGAACACCAGGGUUUCUAUAGCCUCCCACAUAUCAAGGUUUCUAUAACAUCCCACAUGUCAAGGUUUCUAUAACAUCCCACAUGCCAAGGUCUCUAUAACAUCCCACAUGUCAAGGUCUCUAUAACAUCCCACAUGCCAAGGUUUCUAUAACAUCCCACAUGCCAAGGUCUCUAUAACAUCCCACAUGUCAAGGUUUCUAUAACAUCCCACAUGUCAAGGUUUCUAUAACAUCCCACAUGUCAAGGUUUCUAUAACAUCCCACAUGCCAAGGUUUCUAUAACAUCCCACAUGUCAAGGUUUCUAUAACAUCCCACAUGCCAAGGUUUGCAGAAUUUCCCCUUUUCUGUGAUUGUCACUACAUUCUUUCAGAUUUUCAACCAAUCCCUAGUAUAAAUAAAGGGAAACUGAGUGAACAAAUAACAACCUUUGUAUUUAUUUAUUCUCGUUGCUAGUGUGAACAGAACAUUGUAUUGGACAAUGUAACAGUGGCCACCCCACCCGUCCUCAAACUUUUAUCUGUAUCCCUCCCUGGCUCCUGUGUCGCUGGGGCUGAGCCAUGUUGAGGGCUGUGU
ensembl:lncRNA